rnacentral:rRNA from 1 species
AUUGAACGCUGGCGGCAGGCUUAACACAUGCAAGUCGAGCGGAGAUGAGGUGCUUGCACCUUAUCUUAGCGGCGGACGGGUGAGUAACGCUUAGGAAUCUGACUAUUAGUGGGGGACAACAUUCCGAAAGGAAUGCUAAUACCGCAUACGUCCUACGGGAGAAAGCAGGGGAUCUUCGGACCUUGCGCUAAUAGAUGAGCCUAAGUCGGAUUAGAUAGUUGGUGGGGUAAAGGCCUACCAUGGCGACGAUCUGUAGCGGGUCUGAGAGGAUGAUCAGCCACACUGUGACUGAGACACGGCCCAGACUCCUACGGGAGGCAGCAGUGGGGAAUAUUGGACAAUGGGGGGAACCCUGAUCCAGCCAUGCCGCGUGUGUGAAGAAGGCCUUAUGGUUGUAAAGCACUUUAAGCGAGGAGGAGGCUACUGAGACUAAUACUCUUGGAUAGUGGACGUUACUCGCAGAAUAAGCACCGGCUAACUCUGUGCCAGCCGCCGCAGUAAGAC